UGACCUCGGAUCACGUCAGGAUACCCGCUGAACUUAAGCAUAUCAAUAAGCGGAGGA
rnacentral:rRNA from 2 species